rnacentral:lncRNA from 1 species
UCGCCAAGUCCUUUUAUUAUCCAUCCUUCUUUCUGGGAGUAUUCUUUCGAAUCGUAUCCACGUUCUCUUCUUUUUAUUAACUCUUAAAGUUUUCACUAAUCCUUGGAGAUCCUAUAUAUCCUAAUUAUAUAUCUUAAUUUACAUUUCAAAUUAAAGUAAAUUUAGGAGGAAAGUUCAAGAGGUCCUUUUGAGUCAUAUUUGAGAACGGUUUUGCAAUUAACUACAAUUUUGAACUAAAUCUUGAGUAAAUGAGUAUGAAAAUAAGAAGAGUUGUAGUUCAAGUUCUAAAAUGCGUAUAAGGGAACUAAGUAUUCCCAAGUGUAAC